CGUGUUUGGCUUGAGGUUUCUAAACCUAAAAAGAUCCCUGACUGGAGCUGUCCCCCGCCUCCUGACAGGCAGCUGCAGGUGGGCUGCUCGGACACAAACUGCAGCUUAGGUACACGGUCCUUGGAGUCUCCCUGUAGCCUUUUGGAAAGGGAAGGAGCACUUACUAAAUUCACUGCGAAGUGACAGAGAGCCUUUCCUUGGCCAGGUUGGACAGGUGCUUCUGCCCUCUUUUCAACUAGUUCUCAACCUUGGCCUCUAAAGACUUAGGCACUAAGAUGGUUUUGAACAUCACGUCGGCGUCGCUAGGAUGACUCCAGCUCCACUUAGAAUGCCUGCCUGACAAAGCUCAAGGUGCCGGGAGAAUCUAGCCACCGCCAGAAGAGAGUCUCUGCUCCUCAGUGUCUCUAGGAGAAGAGGAGCAUAACUUCCAGAAACUCUGCUUAGUGUCCCCAGGUGGAGUGGGGAACACAGACCUGGUUCCUGUCUUCAAGCAACUCAGGAUCUAAUCUGCAGACAAGACAUGGAUCCAUCCAAAAGCAACGCACGACGAUGUUGUGGAGGCCGGUGGGAGUGAGAAGACCGAGGAGGAGGCCCAGGCUGUGACCAAGGAGGAGGAGGCGGGCCCGGCCCCUGAGAAGGGGGCAGAGGAGGCCGCAGCCGUUGGCGAGGCAGAGGAGGAGGCGGGCCCAGGCAGUGACAAUGACAAGACGUCCCCAGCCAGGGCUGGGGCUGAGCAGGAAGAUGAAUCUGCCCCCAAGGUGGACGGGACGGACGGUGAAAGCUCGUGGAGCACUGUGAGUCUGUGUGGCAGCGUCCACGAUGAAGAUGACACAGACUCGGUGGUGGAGAGCAGCAACAGCCACCAGGACGAGGAGGCUGCAGAAUCUUGCUUUGGGAGGAAAGGAUCUUGCUUCAGGAGCCUGAGGAUAAGUUUGUCCUCUGCGAGCUUGGCUAGACUAAUCCCCUGGUGGCCGCACAACAGGGUGCACCCAGCCACUGAGCCAGAUGAAGCAACGCACGACGAUGUUGUGGAGGCCGGUGGGAGUGAGAAGACCGAGGAGGAGGCCCAGGCUGUGACCAAGGAGGAGGAGGCGGGCCCGGCCCCUGAGAAGGGGGCAGAGGAGGCCGCAGCCGUUGGCGAGGCAGAGGAGGAGGCGGGCCCAGGCAGUGACAAUGACAAGACGUCCCCAGCCAGGGCUGGGGCUGAGCAGGAAGAUGAAUCUGCCCCCAAGGUAAGCUCACCUUUCUUGAUGUGAGGUUGGAAAAGUCGCCUCCUUUUUUUUUGAUAUUCCUACCUGAGAAAAUGAAAAUCUGAGGAAGUCCAUUGUUUA
rnacentral:lncRNA from 1 species